rnacentral:tRNA from 1 species
AUGAACUUAUUAAAAUUAAUUAAUCUAUUUAACUUCAAAGGUUACUGUUUUAAACUCAAGUUAA